AGAGUUUGAUCCUGGCUCAGGAUGAACGCUAGCUACAGGCUUAACACAUGCAAGUCGAGGGGCAGCAUGGUCUUAGCUUGCUAAGGCCGAUGGCGACCGGCGCACGGGUGAGUAACACGUAUCCAACCUGCCGUCUACUCUUGGACAGCCUUCUGAAAGGAAGAUUAAUACAAGAUGGCAUCAUGAGUCCGCAUGUUCACAUGAUUAAAGGUAUUCCGGUAGACGAUGGGGAUGCGUUCCAUUAGAUAGUAGGCGGGGUAACGGCCCACCUAGUCUUCGAUGGAUAGGGGUUCUGAGAGGAAGGUCCCCCACAUUGGAACUGAGACACGGUCCAAACUCCUACGGGAGGCAGCAGUGAGGAAUAUUGGUCAAUGGGCGAGAGCCUGAACCAGCCAAGUAGCGUGAAGGAUGACUGCCCUAUGGGUUGUAAACUUCUUUUAUAAAGGAAUAAAGUCGGGUAUGCAUACCCGUUUGCAUGUACUUUAUGAAUAAGGAUCGGCUAACUCCGUGCCAGCAGCCGCGGUAAUACGGAGGAUCCGAGCGUUAUCCGGAUUUAUUGGGUUUAAAGGGAGCGUAGAUGGAUGUUUAAGUCAGUUGUGAAAGUUUGCGGCUCAACCGUAAAAUUGCAGUUGAUACUGGAUAUCUUGAGUGCAGUUGAGGCAGGCGGAAUUCGUGGUGUAGCGGUGAAAUGCUUAGAUAUCACGAAGAACUCCGAUUGCGAAGGCAGCCUGCUAAGCUGCAACUGACAUUGAGGCUCGAAAGUGUGGGUAUCAAACAGGAUUAGAUACCCUGGUAGUCCACACGGUAAACGAUGAAUACUCGCUGUUUGCGAUAUACAGCAAGCGGCCAAGCGAAAGCGUUAAGUAUUCCACCUGGGGAGUACGCCGGCAACGGUGAAACUCAAAGGAAUUGACGGGGGCCCGCACAAGCGGAGGAACAUGUGGUUUAAUUCGAUGAUACGCAAGGAACCUUACCCGGGCUUAAAUUGCAGAUGAAUUACGGUGAAAGCCGUAAGCCGCAAGGCAUCUGUGAAGGUGCUGCAUGGUUGUCGUCAGCUCGUGCCGUGAGGUGUCGGCUUAAGUGCCAUAACGAGCGCAACCCUUGUUGUCAGUUACUAACAGGUUCUGCUGAGGACUCUGACAAGACUGCCAUCGUAAGAUGUGAGGAAGGUGGGGAUGACGUCAAAUCAGCACGGCCCUUACGUCCGGGGCUACACACGUGUUACAAUGGGGGGUACAGAGGGCCGCUACCACGCGAGUGGAUGCCAAUCCCCAAAACCUCUCUCAGUUUGGACUGGAGUCUGCAACCCGACUCCACGAAGCUGGAUUCGCUAGUAAUCGCGCAUCAGCCACGGCGCGGUGAAUACGUUCCCGGGCCUUGUACACACCGCCCGUCAAGCCAUGGGAGCCGGGGGUACCUGAAGUGCGUAACCGCGAGGAGCGCCCUAGGGUAAAACUGGUGACUGGGGCUAAGUCGUAACAAGGUA
rnacentral:rRNA from 1 species